rnacentral:rRNA from 1 species
CGGAGGUCAGUGCUAUCGGGGUUCGAUUAAGCCAUGCGAGUCGAGAGGGUUCGGCCCUCGGCAUACUGCUCAGUAACACGUGGAUAACCUGCCCUAGGGAAGGGGAUAACCCCGGGAAACUGGGGAUAAUACCAUAUAGAUUACAGAUGCUGGGAUGCCCUGUAAUCCAAAGUUCCGACGCCCUAGGAUGGAUCUGCGGCCGAUUAGGUUGUUGUUGGGGUAAUGGCCCAACAAGCCCGUAAUCGGUACGGGUUGUGGGAGCAAGAGCCCGGAGUUGGAUUCUGAGACACGAAUCCAGGCCCUACGGGGCGCAGCAGGCGCGAAAACUUUACAAUGCGGGCAACCGUGAUAAGGGAACCUCGAGUGCCUGUAAAUGCAGGCUGUUCAGGUGCCUAAAACACACCUGAAGAAAGG